UACAGAGGUGGCAAGCGUUGUUCGGAAUUACUGGGCGUAAAGGGCGCGUAGGCGGCCUUCUAAGUCAGACGUGAAAUCCCCCGGCUUAACCUGGGAACUGCGUCUGAUACUGGGAGGCUUGAGUGCGGGAGAGGGAUGCGGAAUUCCAGGUGUAGCGGUGAAAUGCGUAGAUAUCUGGAGGAACACCGGUGGCGAAGGCGGCAGCCUGGACCGACACUGACGCUGAGGCGCGAAAGCUAGGGUAGCAAACGGG
rnacentral:rRNA from 1 species